AUGGGACUCUCAAGAGUCUCCUCCAGCACCAUAAUUCAGAAGAAUUGAUGCUUUUGAAUUAUGGUGCUGGAGGAGACUCUUGAGAGUCCCAU